AACGAACGCUGGCGGCAUGCCUAACACAUGCAAGUCGAACGAGACCUUCGGGUCUAGUGGCGCACGGGUGCGUAACGCGUGGGAACCUGCCUUUAGGUUCGGAAUAACUCAGAGAAAUUUGAGCUAAUACCGGAUAAUGUCUUCGGACCAAAGAUUUAUCGCCUUUAGAUGGGCCCGCGUUGGAUUAGCUAGUUGGUGGGGUAAAGGCUCACCAAGGCGACGAUCCUUAGCUGGUCUGAGAGGAUGAUCAGCCACACUGGGACUGAGACACGGCCCAGACUCCUACGGGAGGCAGCAGUGGGGAAUAUUGGACAAUGGGCGAAAGCCUGAUCCAGCAAUGCCGCGUGAGUGAUGAAGGCCUUCGGGUUGUAAAGGCU
rnacentral:rRNA from 1 species